rnacentral:rRNA from 1 species
GAUGAACGCUGGCGGCGUGCCUAAUACAUGCAAGUCGAGCGAACGGACGAGAAGCUUGCUUCUCUGAUGUUAGCGGCGGACGGGUGAGUAACACGUGGAUAACCUACCUAUAAGACUGGGAUAACUUCGGGAAACCGGAGCUAAUACCGGAUAAUAUUUUGAACCGCAUGGUUCAAAAGUGAAAGACGGUCUUGCUGUCACUUAUAGAUGGAUCCGCGCUGCAUUAGCUAGUUGGUAAGGUAACGGCUUACCAAGGCAACGAUGCAUAGCCGACCUGAGAGAGGGAUAGGCCACACUGGAACUGAGACACGGUCCAGACUCCUACGGGAGGCAGCAGUAGGGAAUCUUCCGCAGUGGGCGAAAGCCUUACGGAGCAACGCCGCGUGAGUGAUGAAGGUCUUCGGAUCGUAAAACUCUGUUAUUAGGGAAGAACAUAUGUGUAAGUAACUGUGCACAUCUUGACGGUACCUAAUCAGAAAGCCACGGCUAACUACGUG